UAAAGCGGCGGUGCCCCGGCCCGGUGGCCCCCAACCUCCCCGUGCAGGUGUCUGGGCCGCGCCCACCGGCAGACGCAGAGGCAGCAGAGGCCAGCGCCCACAGAAGGGUCCCAGCAGCACGUCAGCAUCCCGACACAGACCACAAUCCCUGAGUGUCUGAGACCCUGACCAUGAGUGGACCCAACUGAAGACCCCCGGCCAGGGCACGUGGGCCGUCAGGACCAAUCACACACAGACCUGUGGCUCCUGGAGUCCUACCAGAGUGCGGAUUUCAGUCCUCGCUCAGUGUGACCACCAUGCACCCCACCCCAACUGCCCCCUCCUCCAACUGACGACUCAGGAAGGAAAUUUGUUUUGUCCAGUGACCUUGCCAUGCCCAGGGGCCUUCCAGGGGCAGAGGCCACUGCAAGGAGCAGACAUGGUAAAGCACCGUCUGUGCUGCUGCUGCCCAGCUGGGGUGCACAUGGCCAAGAAGAGAAG